rnacentral:rRNA from 1 species
UAACAGGAAGCAGCUUGCUGCUUCGCUGACGAGUGGCGGACGGGUGAGUAAUGUCUGGGAAACUGCCUGAUGGAGGGGGAUAACUACUGGAAACGGUGGCUAAUACCGCAUAACGUCGCAAGACCAAAGAGGGGGACCUUCGGGCCUCUUGCCAUCAGAUGUGCCCAGAUGGGAUUAGCUUGUUGGUGAGGUAACGGCUCACCAAGGCGACGAUCCCUAGCUGGUCUGAGAGGAUGACCAGCCACACUGGAACUGAGACACGGUCCAGACUCCUACGGGAGGCAGCAGUGGGGAAUAUUGCACAAUGGGCGCAAGCCUGAUGCAGCCAUGC